AAAGUGAUUUUGGGUGUUUUGAGUGUGUUUUGUGGUGAGGCAGGAAGGAAUGGUUAGGUCAGGUUAUGUGCUGGUUAGGGAUUACUUGGGUGUGGGUUUAGGUUAAUGGAGGUAUUUUGAGACUGGUUAGGAUUUUUUUAUGUGUGUAUUGUGGUUUUUUGUGUUUGUUUGCAUGUGUUUUAGGAUGUUUGGAGUGGUGUUUUGGGGUGUUUUUGUAUUGGGAAUCUAGAGGACGAAGGUAUUGGAGUGUUUGUAGGACAGCUCCAGGACCACCUUGUUAUGUCUCCAGGUGAGUACAUACUGAUCUUUUUUUUAUACUAUUUAUUUUUUUUAUUUAUUAAUUUACUUUCUUAUUUAUUUUUUUAAUUUUUUGUUUUGCUUUUUUUUUAUUUGAUUUUAUUGUUUAUUCAUUCUCUUUUAUUUAUUGAAGUCAACCAAGAAUUCCAUUUUUUUUGCCUUAUUUAUGAAUUUUCUUUAACUUUUUGCUUUUUAUUUUGCUCAGUUUUAUUUUACUGCAUAUAUUUAUUUAAUUUCAUUUUAAUUGAGGCGCACGGCGCAACAACGACGUAACCGAGAAAUGGAAGUUUCGAGAAAAACGCGCUCAAAGUUAAACACUGAUUGCGCACAAUAGGAUACCCUUAAAUAAGUAAGUAUUAUACAUCAUUUGAAAGGUCUUGGGUAGUUCUGUUUGGGGAUGUAGGUUUCGAAGUGAUAGGUGACGAUUUUGGGUGGAUGACUUACGCGUUAAUUAACGUGUAUACCGUAGGUAAUAAUUUUUUUUCCCGAUAUUGUUUUCAUUUGUUAAUAAUGUGUUAGAGCCUAUUACACAUAGUAUUAGGUGAAAGUUUCAUGAAGAUUGGUACAUAAAUAAAUUUUUUAUGAAUUUUUUUUCCGAGCGUAAAAAAUAAAACUUACUCAUUACCGGCACGUUAUUACUCCUACCAUAACUUUGACGUCCUGCUAUGACUAACAGUGUGUAAUGCUGAUAAUUUUAUGUUUGUGCAUGCAUUCUGGUAAGUAUUAAUGGAAAGCCGCUAUGUCAAGAACAUUAUGAAGAAACGAAUUUUUUUUUUUUUUUUUUUUUGUAUUCGAUGAAUAUAGUUGGCUCUCAUCCUUUACACUGGCUUGAGACAGUUAAGUUGAUUACCAGGAUACGUCUGUUUGAUCCUGGCAAUGCCCUUAGCGGAUUUACCAACCCUUUAAAUCCCCCUUCAACCCACUAAGUCGGGUUGACUGGGGAUUUAAAAAACUUACGUAAGGCUGGUGGCCACAGCAAGAUGCUGUGACACUUUCGUCUGCACUCUAGUAGCCAUAGUUGCGUAAAGAGUCACGAGAAAGGUAGCGUGCGUCUGUGCUCGGGCGUGUUAAAGGGCAGAGUGGAUGAGCACAUGGUGAGUGUGUUGUCACCAUGGCAACGGCGCUGGUAAACAUGGCAGCGGUGCUGUGAUUGGCUCGCCCGCGCCGGGCGGCUGCAACCGCGCCGCUGAUUGGCCAUACGCACGUGAGGCUGGGAGGAGCAGGUUGCGUCGUUGUUGUACCGCUUUCGAGAUGUUAGUCCAAAGAAAUUUUCUCCGCACUACGCUCGACUUUGAGCCUUAGUACAGGUGCUUAGAUGGUCGAAUAUGACUUGGCCGACAUCACCACGAGACUUUUACACCCUUCUACCACACGGAGCAGGCAAAAACACGAAAUCUCAAAUUUCACGGUUACGUCGUUGUUGUACCGCGCGCCUCAUAUUUUGUGGAGCUUCAUUACUUCCUAAAUCAACUCUCGUCUCAAUAAUUCCAAAGCUUACGAGCAGUGUUACCGCCAACAGUGAUGCUGGCGGUUAUGGAAGUGUUAUGGAAGUAAUGAUGGAAGAACAAACAAAUGUAUGCUAAAUAACAUGUUCUGUGUUAUGAGAGUUGGUGUGAACUAGUGUAAUAAGUUAGUAGUGUCUUAAGUUCCGGUGCUAUGAAGGUUAAGUAAAUGAGGGGAAUGUAAUCGCCAGCUGUGCUGCCUCACAAGGUUCAGUGAGGCUGGUGGUGAGAGACUAAUAUGAGGCUUGUAAAACACUAAGGAAACUAACUUAAUUAGAAUAGAGAUUAAGGAAACUGAAUUCAUUAUAGUAGUUAAUUGCAGUAGUGAAGUUGUGUGAGAAGGACUAGCUGUGGAGAGCUUAGCUGUAGAGAGGUAGUGAGGGUCGUGUUUACGUGGUAAAGUUCAUGACAUGGUGUGUAGGGUAGACAAGACACAUGGGUCACCCAGGAACUAUCGCUGACCUAAACGUAAGAUGGGCAGGCGCAAGGCGCCGAGGUCUAGCAGGGACGAAGCGUCGAAGCCCGUAGGGACAGAUUCCUUUGUAUCGCCACCGAGUUAAGGUGUGACUACUCCAGGAAAGAUCGGACCUCUACAAUACAGACGCAGGUGUUGCUUGGUGACAGGCCUUCUUUAGACCCCAAACACGUGAGUUCCACAUCAGUAUUACGAAGGGUCGAUUAUCCUAAUUAGCAUAAUCCAUGAUUAGUGAUACAGUAUGUAAUAGUUUUUAUACAUUAUGUAAUGGUUAGUAGUGCUACGGACGUCUUAUGUUUAUCAUGUAUGUCUCUUCAGGUUUGACCGAAUGCAAUAAACGAUUCGCGUCACCGUGUGGGUCUAAAAUCCUUUAGCUGCCUCCGGGCAGCUACAAGCAGUAUGUAGCUCCUGCAGUCCCGAUCCAUCCUUCAUUUCUCUUCCAUUGAGGGUGAUUGCUUUCAUAUACGGGCGCGUCCUCUCCAAUCUUUUGAUGAAAGUCAACUACGUAUUAUUAGUAAUCAAAAGAUUGAUUAAGUAUUGCUACAGAGGAUGGCAGGAUGACCCCAAAGUGAAGCAGAUAGAAUCUGAGCGACGAUUAUCAACCUUGUGAAGGCUGGUGAUCUGGUGCAGCGUUCUUCAACCUUUUCUAAGUCCAUGCACUCUUCCGAGAGCUUUUGAGAAAUUCUUGUAUCCUCGCUCCUUGGACAAUUAAUUGCAAAAGAAUUACAUGAAUAUUUGAGAUUUUCUCUAGUUUUAAGACAAAACAUAAAUAAAGGUAUUGAAUUUCUAUUUUAAACAUAGAAAAUAGCUAUUUGGUCCUAAAUGAUUGUUAUAUAGAUGCUAAAUGUAUAGCAGAACAAAAUUCCAUAUCUCAAACACAUGAGAUGCGAGUUGCAUCUUAGUGUAAUAUACUAACAUAGGUAAUACAUAAAUCUGUUAUAUUUUAACCUCAAUCUAAAUUAAUUUGUUACUUCUUUUCGUACUGAGCACUCUUAUACACACUAGCCAUGUCAUGUGCCCUUCCAUGUAAGGCCGCACCGAAGGGCGUCACCAAAGGGCAGCACCGAAGGGCGUCAUCUUAGGACGGCACUGAAGGGUGUCACCAAAGGGCGGCACCGUUGGCCGUCAUCGUAGGACGGCACCGAAGGGCGUCACCGUAGGGCGGCACUGUAGGGCGGUACCGAAGGACGUCACCAAAGGGCGGCACCGUAGGCUGGCACCGAAGAGCGUCACCAAAGGGCGGCACAGAAGAGCGUCACCAAACCUAAAGGGCAGCACCGAAAGGCGUCACCAAAGGGCGGCACCUACCCUUUGAAAAAAUUCAUGCAACCUGGGGUGCACCAUGCAUCCAGGUUGACUACCACUGAUCUAGAGUUGCUUUCUGGGACUCACAAAGAAGCACCACCUGACAGAGCAGUAUGUAGCACCAUUCAAGCCCAAUACCGCACCCUGAAAGACUCACAAGUGCGCGUUUCUCAGUGCAGAAAACGAAGAGUUAUUUGACGUCACAUCACCCCAGCAUCGGUUGACAUGAACACAAAGCGGCGUUAUGUGUCGUCUUCUCAUCAUCAUAAUACAGUUUUCUCUCUUUACACAAAGUACAAACAGGUAGUCUAGUGGCAUCAAACGAGUAUCUUCAGCGUGGUGAUGCGCCGCGGACUUCUCUCUGGUCCACGACCUCGUGUUUAGCUGGUCCUGGGGCGUGAUGGCUAAACUAUCCAAAACAAGUUUGCUUUAUAUAUUUGGCAAAAGUUUACAAUAUGGCUUGGAGACACAUCGCUAGUCUGACAGCUGCGGCAGUGACGUGGCUGGUAGUGGAAAUGAGCUGUUGGGUCUUUCUGUAUGACCACGAGAGGACGCGCAUUGUAGCGAGCAGCAUGGCGGGCUUGGUCCUCUUCUACCUGGUGCGUUACGGCCCCAGACACAUUCCAGCAGGUUGGGUCGUCACCAUGAUCUCAAUGACCAUCGCCUUCCGUUACACGCGAAGGCUCGUGACGAACAAAGUUCAGGGAAUGCGGGGAUUCCUGCUCGGAUGUCUUGCGGCAAACGUAGUGGCAGCAGUGACUUUCUUCCUGGGGACUUUCGUCGGUGCCCUCACCUAGAGCCCGAACCACCGUUACUCUUCUUAUCUCUCACAAGAAUA